rnacentral:rRNA from 1 species
AUCAACGCUGGGCGGCGUGCCUAACACAUGCAAGUCGAACGCAGAAAGUGGAGCAAAUCCAUGAGUACAGUGGCGACCGGGUGGUUAAACACGUGGACUACCUACCCUCGAGUGGGGGAUAACUUCCGGGAAACCGGAGCUAAUACCGCAUAACAUCGAAAGAUCAAAUGCAGCAAUGCGCUUGAGGAGGGGGGUCGCGGCUGAUUAGCUAGCUGGUAGGACGUAACGGCCUACCAAGGCGAUGAUCGGUAGCCGGCCUGAGAGGGGCGCACGGCCACACUGGAACCGAAACACGUGUCCCAGACUCCUACGGGAAGGCAGCACGUGGGGAAAUUUUUGGCGCAAUGGGGGAAACCCUGACAACUAGCAACGCCGCGUGGAGGAUGAAGUCCUUUGGGACUUAAACUCCUUUCGACCGGGAAGAUUAUGACGGAUACCGGUGGAAGAAGCACGGCUAACUCUGUGCCAGCAGCCGCGGGUAAUACAGAGGGUGCGAGCGUUGGUCGGAAUUAUUGGGCGUAAAGGGCGCGUAGCGGUGCGGGUAAGUCACCUGUGGAAAUCUCCUGGCUCAACUGGGAGCCUGCAGGCGAAACUGCCGUGCUGGAUGUGUGGGAGAGGUGCGUGGAAUUCCCGGUGUUAGCGGGUGAAAUGCGUAGAUAUCGGGUAGGAACAGCCUGUGGCGAAAGCGGCGCACUGGACCACAACUGACGCUGAGGCGCAGAAAGCUAGGGGAGCAAACAGGAUUAGAUACCUGGUAGUCCUAGCCCUAAACCAUGGAUGCUUGGUGUAGCGGGUACUCAAUCCCGCUGUGCCGUAGCUAACGCGAUAAGCAUACCCGCCUGGAGGGUAGUACGGUCGCAUAGGCUGAAACUCAAAGGAAUUGACGGGGGCCCGCAACAAGCGGGUGGAGCAUGUGGUUCAAUUCGAACGCAACUCGAAAGAACCUUACUGGGCUCGAAGCGCAGUGGACCCGGGGUAGAAAUAUCCCUUUCCGCAAGGACCGCUGCGGAGGUGCUGCUGGCGCUGUCGUCAGCUCGUGUCGUGAGAUGUGGGGUUAAGUCCCGCAACGAGCGCAACCCUUAUCGCUAGUUGCCAUCGGGUCAAGCCUGGGCCCUCUAGCGAAACCGCCGCCCCGGAUAACGGGGAGGAAGGUGGGGGAUGACGUCAAGUCCUCAUGGCCUUUAUGUCCAGGGGCUACACACGUGCUACAAGUGGUCGGUAACAAACCGUCGCAAACCUGCGAAGGGGAGCUAAUCGGAAAAAGCCGACCUCAGUUCGGAUUGGAGUCUGCAAACCCGACUCCAUGAAGCUGGAAUCGCUAGUAAUCGCAGAUCAGCACGCUGCGGUGAAUACGUUCCCGGGCCUUGUACACACCGCCCUUCACAUCACGAAAGUGGACUGUACUAGAAGUCGGUACGCUAACCCGCAAGGGAGGUAGCCGCCCAAGGUAUAGUUCAUGAUUGGGGUG